rnacentral:rRNA from 1 species
AAUCAACGCUGGCGGCGUGCCUAACACAUGCAAGUCGAGCGAGAAAAGGGGAGCAAUCCUCUGAGUACAGCGGCGCACGGGCGAGUAACACGUGGGUAAUCUGCCCUGAAGUGGGGAAUAACACCGGGAAACCGGUGCUAAUACCGCAUAUGAUCACGGUGUCUGCGGACACAGGGAUGAAAGGAGCAAUUCGCUUCAGGAGGAGCCCGCGGCUGAUUAGCUAGUUGGUGAGGUAAUGGCUCACCAAGGCAACGAUCAGUAUCCGGUCUGAGAGGACGGUCGGACACACUGGAACUGAGACACGGUCCAGACUCCUACGGGAGGCAGCAGUGGGGAAUUUUUCGCAAUGGGGGCAACCCUGACGAAGCAACGCCGCGUGGGUGAUGAAGUCUCUUGGGACGUAAAACCCUUUCGACAGGGAAGAAACCGCAAGGUUGACGGUACCUGUAGAAGAAGCCCCGGCUAACUCCGUGCCAGCCGCCGCGGUAAUAC